AAAGAUGAAGGGAUUGUUUUCGAUCCACAGUAGUCAAAUGAAUCUGAACAGCUUAAAAACAUGGAGGGUGAUUUGUCUUGUAGUAAACAAUCUGCAAAAAUGUCUGAAAAAAGUCAUAGUGUUAGCGAGCCUGACAAAAUAGAUGAUGAAUUUAAGUGAAGACGAAGAUGAAACGCCAUGUAUUCACUCGAUGGCCCCGUUUUAUGUGUGAUUUUUAGAGGAUUUCCUAACAGUGUUGUUUUCACCCUCAGAUUAGCCAUGUUUAUGGCUAGCGCUAAGAUAGUCAAGCCACAAGGCUUAAGUGCCAAUGAAUUCGAGCAGGGUAUCUCCCAGGCUAUCCUGGAGAGAUGAACUCUGACAUGAAGGCUCAACUUCGUGAGCUUUACAUUUCUUCUGCCAAGAAAUUGGACCAUGGCACAGCAUUACGAAUGUGAACAUAGACAAGCAACAGUUACGAGACAAUAUUAUCAUUGGACAGUUCAUUGGAAUAGACAUUAAAAAGAGCUGCUGUUGUAUAUUAUGCAACAGUGCUGUGGACAUAAAUGGCGACGAAGAGGAAACUAUCACAUGCAGUAAAUGUAAAAUAACUACCCUAAAAUCAUUACUUAAUGCCAAACUUGUUGGUAAUUUACUGAUAAGCCAAGACAAAAAAAAGGUAUACCUUAUUCAAUGACGGAAUUGAAAGUUUUCUGAAAGCUCAGAAUCGUGAUAUUUCUGUAAAUGAAAUCGAUUUAAAUGAGCUCAAGCAGUUACUACUAAAGUCUGGCCCACACAAGAUGAUAGUAGACAAAGCUUGUAAAGUGAUAGCACAGUUUAUCACUGGAUGAAUCUGUAUUCCUCUUUAUAGAGAAAAACAGCUUACUAGGUUCAAUUAUGUUGUUUAAUCAUAAAGUUUACUAUCCUGUUCUAUCAUGUUGUUAUUUAUAGAUUGUAGCAUUGAACGUUAUUAGAGAAAACAUGUAUGUAUAUUAAGUUAA